CAAACAGUAAUUCAAAGGGGUUAUUAAGGAAAAACUAGCAAAUUUAUAAAAAAGGAGGGCACCAGUCCAAAAGCCACAAUUCACUUAGUGAACUAUAAUUAGAUAUUUAUUUAAUUGUAGAUAAAACUUGUAGGCGAUCCUAAGGGAAACCUUUUUAUAAAAACUUCCCGAAGUAAAACAUUUCAUUAGGGAAAGGAAAGGAAAUCAACCGAGACUCCGAAAGUAAUGGCGAGUGAAAUCGGAAAAGCCUAAAAAGGAAAAGUUUAAACACUAAUACACACCAGUAACCAAAGAAGGUAAAUAAGUCCUGUAUGUUUAACUUUUCUUCUCUUUUCAAAAAAAUAAAGAAAUAUCUUUAAAAAAGAAAAGUUGAAAUAAGUACGACGAGAGUUAACUUGUCGGAAUAUAGGGGAACCAUCCUCUAAGGCUAAGUAUUAUAAAUUUAGCGAUAGUGAAAAAGUACCGUAAGGGAAAGUUUGAAAUAGUUAUGUAUUAUUAGACAUAAAUGAAACAGUUGAAUUAGUAACUCUAUAAGCAGUCGAAAUUUAUAACUAUAAAUGACGGCGUACCUUUUGCAUAAUGGGUCAGCAAGUUAAUAGGAGUAGCAAGGUUAAAAGCCUUAGUGAAAGCGACCACACUAACUAGCUAUAUAAAUAGUAUUUUUAUUUAAAUAUUUAAGUAAAAAUAGGAUAUCCUUCAUAAAUUUAUGAAGUUUAAUAUUUUCUAGGAAUAGUAAUGGAUAAGUUACUUCUAUUAGACCCGAAGCUAGGUGAUCUUCCUAAGACCAGAUUAUAAUGGAUCGAACGGGUGAAUGUAGCAAAAUUCUCCGAAGAGUUUUAGGAAGCGGUGAAAUGCCAAUCUGACCUAGUGAUAGCUGGUUUUCUACGAAACAUAUGUAAGUAUGACAUCUAAUCAAGAUUUAUGGUGGUACAGCACUGAGUUCCCAACUUUCUAAAGUUUAGGUUGCGGGGACCUCGAAAAUCUUACCAAUGGAAGAGAAUCUCGGAAUGACAUAAAUUGAUGUUAGAUAUUCAGACUGCUCAUGCGAAGUUGGGUAGUCAAGACGGAAACAGCCGAGAACACGAAACAAGGUCCCAAAUGAUUUUUAAGUGAAAUUAAGGAAGUAAUAUAUUGAAUGCAGCUGUAAAGUGAGCCUGGUAGUCGCUAUCUUUUAAUAAACGUAAUGUAACAACGUAGCAGCCAACCAUUAGAAUAUUACGCCAAAAAUUUAACGGGUCUUAAAAAAUCAACCGAUAUCGUGUUUAUUUUGAAUACUAUUCUCGUAUUCAAUAUACAGGUAGUAGAACAUUCAGUAUACCUAUGAUAAAACAGUGUUUCAUUGUUUUUAGGUCACUGAAGAGAGAAUGCUGACAUGAGUAACGUAAAAAGAAGUUAUAAUACUUCUCGCCGAAUACGAAAGGGUUAUAAGGAAAGGUUAAACCACCUUAUGUUAAUGCGGCCUCUAAGGACCAAAACCAAAGUUUUGGCUGAUGAGUAUGAAAUAGAAAGUCCUAAUACCCUAGUAGGGAGGACCAGGAAAAUAAUAUUUCUUUUCACUACCGUACCCUAAACCGACACAGGUUCGUAAGUAGAGAAUACUAAGGCGCAGAGCUAAAAGUUGUUAAGGAACUCGGCAAGUUCUCCUCAUAAGUUUGACGACAAGAGGAACCCUCAACGGAGGGUGGCACAAAAUCGGAGGCCCCGACUGUUUACUAAAAACACAAUUCAGAGCAAUGAUGAAAAAUCAUAGUAUUCUGGAUGAAAUUUGCCCAAUGCCAUUAACAUAAGAGAGGUUAUAGGUAACUGUAACUGAUUGAAAGUCUGGUUAAUAGCGGUCUUAACUAUGAGGAUCCAAAGGUAGCAAAAUAAAUUGGCCAUUAAAUGUGGUCUUGUAUCAAUAGUGUAACGAUGGUCUCACUGUCUCUACAACUUGCUCAGUGAAAUUGAAUUACCCGUGCAGAUGCGGGUUGCCUCCAGGUGGACGGGAAGACCCUAUGCAGCUUUACUGUAGUUAGCUAUCAUAUUGAUCUACAACAACCUUAGUUAAUAGGAAUUAGGGAUGUCGAUAGACGAAAGAUGGAAUACCUUCUGACUUUGGUUGGGUUAAUAUUUACCUUGUAAUUUAAACCGCCAGGCGGGAAAAUAAAAAAUUUAAGGGACAGGUGGCUAAUUGGCAGUUUGACUGGGGCGGUCGUCUUUGAUAAAGUAGCAAAGUACAUCCAAAGAUAUUUUUUUUAAUUUAUCAUUAUGCCUUUGGGCUUUUUUGAUAAUAAAAAAAACAUAGUAAAGGUUUAAACUAUGUAGAAUAUAAAUAAUUUGCUUUACGCUUAUUAUUUGUAUUAUUUUUAACAUAAGGUAGAGCUAGAAAAUUGAAUGGAGAUCAAUCAACCAGUGAGAAAGGUUGUAAUCGGCGUAAUGGCGGAAAGCAUGCCUAACUGAAAGACUUAGAAGUCGCACAGAUACGUAAGUAGGGCAUAGUGACCCUUCGCUAUAAUAUGGAAUAGACGGGGAUCAAUCGAUAAAAGUUACGCUAGGGAUAACAGGCUGAUAGCCGGUGAGAGUACACAUUGUCCCGGCUGUUUGGCACCUCGAUGUCGACUCAACCUAUCCUCCGGGGGUAGAAGCUUGGAAGGGUUCGGCUGUUCGCCGAUUAAAAGGUUACGCGAGUUGGGUUUAAUACGACGUGAGUCAGUAUGGUCCCUAUCUUCUGGAGGGAAAAAUAGUAAAAAGGGGCAGACCUUCUAGUACGAAAGGAUCAAUAGGCUGUGUUUCUCUAGUGUACCAAUUGUUUAUAUCUUUUUAAAUUAAAAAAGAUUAAAGCAUAGUUGGGUAGCCACAAACAUGAUAGAUAAGCGCUGAAUGAAUAUUAAGCAGGAAGCUAUCCCCUAGAUACUAUCAUAUUAACUAGUCAACUUCAUCCUCGUGGAUGAAAGAUAAGAAAUAGUUAAUUUUUAAUAAGAAAUAGAACAUUUCUAAAUAGGAUGCAAAUGAAAGUGUUGUGA
rnacentral:rRNA from 1 species